rnacentral:rRNA from 1 species
GGGGCGCCUUGCGCGCACCGGCGGACGGCUCAGUAACACGUCGGUAACCUACCCUCGGGAGGGGGAUAACCCCGGGAAACUGGGGCUAAUCCCCCAUAGGCCUGAGGUACUGGAAGGUCCUCAGGCCGAAAGGGGCUUCGGCCCGCCCGAGGAUGGGCCGGCGGCCGAUUAGGUAGUUGGUGGGGUAACGGCCCACCAAGCCGAAGAUCGGUACGGGCCAUGAGAGUGGGAGCCCGGAGAUGGACACUGAGACACGGGUCCAGGCCCUACGGGGCGCAGCAGGCGCGAAACCUCCGCAAUGCGGGAAACCGCGACGGGGGGACCCCCAGUGCCGUGGCAUCGCCACGGCUUUUCCGGAGUGUAAAAAGCUCCGGGAAUAAGGGCUGGGCAAGGCCGGUGGCAGCCGCCGCGGUAAUACCGGCGGCCCGAGUGGUGGCCGCUAUUAUUGGGCC